AUAUUCUAUUGGUUAGAUACAAGUCACAGGUCCUACCCACAUUGAAGAGGAGGGGAAAAUAAGAGUGUAAUGCCAGAAACAGGGAUCAUGUAGUAUCACCUUAGGUUCAAUAUGUCACCAUCACUCUCCUUACGUUCUCUUAGAUUCCCAAUUUUCUUAUCAGUAUUAUCAGGGUAUGACAGAAUGAUGGUCAGACAUCUUUCAUGAGUUCAGGCAGCACCAUUUCUAAUGAGCACUAUUAUGCCUUCCACAAAGGAACUCAUGGCCUGUUAUCAAGGUGACUGUGCAAUGAGGAAAAGAAAAUGAUGAAACUUUUGGAGAGUUACUGACUGAACACCAGCUGUGAAUUGAUACUAAUUUCUGGAGACAAAACAUGAGUUUGUCCACCAGUCAGUGUCAGAGCUUAUGGAGGUCAGAAGAUCAAUGGAGUUUUAGCUUAGAUCCAUCUUAUAGUGACCCAGUGGGUCGCCAAACCCAUCCUGCAGUUACUUCUCCAGUUCCAGAAUAAAUAAUUGGAUAGAAAUAGUCAGCAACUGGCAGAAUUCCCAUAUUGGUUUACUGACCUCUAAAGCGAGAGCUAUUAUAGUAAGAAAAUACCAAAAGGAA
rnacentral:lncRNA from 10 species